GAUGCAAAUAUCUUAUCAAGUGACCCUCUUAUCCAUAUGGGGAAGAGCCCAUGGGAUGAAGAUGGAUAAUUCUCAUGACAAGGAAUAAAACUAUGUUUCAGGAAGAUGCACCUGCCAAGAGGGUAAUUGCUGCUGUUCCCCUCACCAGUGCUGAUGGAGGGAGUCUUCUCAAAAAUCAAGAGCCGACAAAUCAGUGGCAGCAGAAAAAAAGAAUUUUAUCCAAGAAUGUUCACACGGUGACUUCCAUUUGAAAACACCACUUUGAGAAUCCCUGUCAAGAAGAGAGAGACAAUUAAAGCUGUCA